AUUGAACGCUGGCGGCAGGCCUAACACAUGCAAGUCGAGCGAUCGGCGGACGGGUGAGUAAUGUAUGGGGACUGCCCGAUAGAGGGGGAUAACUACUGGAAACGGUGGCUAAUACCGCAUACUAUCGGAUAACCCAUAUGGGAUUAGCUAGUAGGUGGGGUAAAGGCGCACCUAGGCGACGAUCUCUAGCUGUUCUGAGAGGAUGAUCAGCAAAACUGUGAAUGAGACACGGACCAGACUCCUACGGAGGCAGCAGUGGGGAAUAUUGCACAAGGGGCGCAAGCCUGAUGCAGCCAUGCAGCGUGUAUGAAGAAGGCCUUAGGGUUGUAAAGUACAUUCAGCGGGGAGGCGUUACCCGCAGAAGAAGAACCGGCUAACUCCGUGCCAGCAGCCGCGGUAAUUC
rnacentral:rRNA from 1 species